UAAACACUUCAACACCUGAAACGCUUAUAUCCGUUUUGAUUGUAUGCAUACCUGAGCCCAUCUGCGUUCCCAUUUUUCCCCUCAACAGAUCCCCAAAAUCUAUCUCCUAAACCCGUUUUUUUUUUUCAUCGGAACCCUCUACGAUCAUCGAUUAUUUCGGGCUCUUUUUUAGUGUUUAUUAUUGUGAUUGACACCUGAGAAUAAACUAUAAAGGUUCAUUUCUCUAUUUCUUUUAUUUGUUUGCUUUGAUUUUUCUCCUCCGCAGUCAAUCUACUAAUUGUGGGGGAGGAGAGAUGGUUUGUAUGAUUCUAUAAAAUCAAAGUUUUCUGAACAAACAGCUAGGGUUUCAGGUAUGGGAUUUGAUGGAUGAAUCAUGCCGGAACUGCGUAGCGGAGUGCGCAGGGGCCGGGCAGCGCAGCCAAAUCCAAUCGGGGGCGAGGGGGUGAUUGCCAAAGGUAGAAAAAGGCGAACAGCAAAGAACAAGCAGGCGAUCGAUAAGAAUAUUGUAAAGGCUUCUGUUCCGACUGCAUCUUUACAGGCUAAGGAAGAGGGGAAGGUUCUUGAAGAAGGCGGGGUCGCCCGAGGUCUAGCCGGUGAUCUUGGUGGGUUGGUUGGGGCCAAGGAGGAAGAGGUAGGGGAGAAGCAGAUGGACGAUUUCGAUAGCGGAGCCAGGAGCGCUGAUAAGGCUCCCGGUGCUGAAGAUGAAGCAAGCACCGCUCCCCUUCCUGAAAAGGUCCAAGUAGGUGGUUCCCCAGUGUACAGAAUAGAAAGAAAGUUGGGCAAGGGAGGCUUUGGACAAGUGUAUGUUGGUCGUCGUGUUUCUGGUACCAAUGUAAAUGAUAGAACUACUGGACAAGGAGCUGCUGAGGUGGCGUUGAAGUUUGAGCACAGAAGUAGCAAGGGAUGUAAUUAUGGACCACCUUACGAGUGGCAAGUCUACAAUACCCUUGGUGGUAGUCAUGGUGUGCCACGAGUACAUUACAAAGGCCGGCAAGGUGAUUAUUAUGUCAUGGUUAUGGAUAUGCUGGGACCAAGUUUAUGGGAUGUUUGGAAUAACAAUUCUCACACAAUGUCCAUUGAAAUGGUUGCAUGUAUUGCAAUUGAAGCAAUAUCAAUAUUGGAGAAGAUGCAUUCUAGAGGCUAUGUUCAUGGGGACGUAAAACCUGAGAACUUUUUGCUUGGUCUACCUGGAACUCCUGAGGAGAAAAAGCUGUUCCUUGUUGAUCUUGGAUUAGCCACUAGAUGGCGGGACAGUUCAACCAGUCAGCAUGUUGAGUAUGAUCAACGACCAGAUGUUUUUAGGGGAACAGUGCGGUAUGCUAGUGUGCAUGCUCAUCUAGGAAGAACUGCAAGCAGGAGAGAUGACUUAGAAUCACUUGCUUAUACUCUUAUUUUCUUGCUUCGUGGUCGUUUACCUUGGCAAGGAUACCAGGGGGAGAAUAAAGGGUUUCUUGUAUGCAAGAAAAAGAUGGCAACGUCUCCAGAGACACUUUGUUGUUUUUGUCCACAGCCUUUCAGACAAUUUGUUGAGCAUGUAGUGAAUUUGAAAUUUGAUGAGGAACCAAACUAUGCAAAAUAUAUUUCCCUCUUCGAUGGGAUUGUUGGUCCAAAUCCAGAUAUCAGGCCAAUUAACACAGAUGGUGCACAGAAGCUUAUCUAUCAGGUUGGUCAUAAGAGAGGGCGAUUAACAAUGGAGGAAGAGGAUGAUGAGCAACCAAAGAAGAAGGUUCGCAUGGGGAUGCCUGCAACACAAUGGAUUAGUGUCUAUAAUGCUAGGCGGCCUAUGAAACAACGGUAUCACUAUAAUGUGGCAGAUGCAAGGCUUGCACAACACAUUGAUAAAGGAAAUCAAGAUGGUCUAUUUAUCAGCAGUGUUGCAUCUUGUUCAAAUCUAUGGGCCUUGAUUAUGGAUGCAGGCACUGGAUUUGUUUCUCAAGUUUAUGAACUCUCAUCCUUUUUUCUUCACAAGGAAUGGAUUAUGGAGCAGUGGGAGAAGAAUUAUUACAUUAGUGCAAUAGCAGGAGCUAACAAUGGAAGCUCUUUGGUAGUAAUGUCUAAAGGUACACAGUAUGCACAGCAGUCCUACAAAGUUAGUGAUUCAUUCCCUUUCAAAUGGAUAAACAAAAAAUGGAGAGAAGGUUUCUAUGUCACCUCCAUGGCUACUGCAGGUAGUAGAUGGGCAGUCGUAAUGUCUCGUAGUGCAGGAUUUUCAGACCAGGUUGUUGAGCUAGAUUUUCUGUAUCCUAGUGAAGGAAUCCAUCGGAGGUGGGAUAGUGGUUAUCGUAUCACAGCAACUGCAGCAACUUGGGACCAGGCUGCCUUUGUUCUUAGUGUGCCCAGAAGAAAGCCUGCUGAUGAAACACAAGAGACACUCCGGACUUCUGCUUUUCCUAGUACACAUGUCAAGGAGAAAUGGGCUAAAAAUCUGUACAUUGCAUCUGUGUGCUAUGGUCGAACAGUUUCAUGAGCUUCUCAAUCUCGUUUUUCUUAGUUUAGAUGCUUGCUGACAAUUUUGAAGAUACUACUCAUCUUGCUCGCCUGCUCUUAUCAUGUUGUCACUGUGCUGCGGAAGUGUGAAAUUUGUCAUUUCCUGAAGGCAAACUUCUCAUUGUGACAUCACGUCAUCACCAGGCUAGAAAUUUUGAUAGUGUCAGGUGAAAUCAUCACAAGGUCUUCUUUGCCAUUUGAAGUUUGUGAGUAUUCACUCUUUCUUUCCUUUUUUUAAUAUUGAUUGAUAGUGUCCAACUCUGUAGUGAUGUGUUCUUCUGAAUUGCUGUAGUAGUUUGUGGUUCAGCUAGAUCCAGUCUAACAUUCUAGUUUUUUUUUCCCCAGGGCCAGAGCUUUUAUUGAUAGAGGCACUUAGAUGGGAGGCAACAACAUCAAUGACUCCCAAUAACAUAAACAAUGCAUGUGUACGAGGAGUUGGAUGACGGAGAAAAUGCUGGUGACUCUACCCUACAAGUUAGGCCAUUAGAAGAGGGUUGCUCUGCCUAAGGAAGGAGCUCAUUGGAGAAAAGGAAGUCAUAUGCUAGCAUCGUUUCUAGUGAAUAUGUAUACAAAAUAUUUUAGGGUGUAUACAACCUCGGGGAUGACAAUCCGGAAUUCCUCUUCAAGGCCAUAGAUUUUUUGUCUCAGUCAGAGAAUAGGGCAAUAGCGUUUUAUGCCCUCAAGCUUAAAUUGAAGAAAGCAUAGCUGAAUAUGAAACUUGCAUCUGAAUACUACAUUGGACUUAACUUUCUAGUUAGACUUUGAUAGACGCAUGAACUGAUUAGAUAUCCAUUGCAUCAUUUUGUUCUCGUCCUCUUGGGAUGCAUUGGAUGUUUGUUUUGAUAUAGUAUAUAAACAAAUACACAGUGAUGGUGAUACAAACAUAUACAUGGACACAUAAUAUUGUGAUUGGUUUGA